rnacentral:rRNA from 1 species
UAGGGAAUCUUCCACAAUGGACGCAAGUCUGAUGGAGCAACGCCGCGUGAGUGAAGAAGGUUUUCGGAUCGUAAAGCUCUGUUGUUGGUGAAGAAGGAUAGAGGCAGUAACUGGUCUUUAUUUGACGGUAAUCAACCAGAAAGUCACGGCUAACUACGUGCCAGCAGCCGCGGUAAUACGUAGGUGGCAAGCGUUGUCCGGAUAUAUUGGGGGUAAAGCGAGCGCAGGCGGAAUGAUAAGUCUGAUGUGAAAGCCCACGGCUCAACCGUGGAACUGUGUCUGAAACUGUCAUUCUUGAGUGCAGAAGAGGAGAGUGGAAUUCCAUGUGUAGCGGUGGAAUGCGUAGAUAUAUGGAAGAACACCAGUGGCGAAGGCGGCUCUCUGGUCUGCAACUGACGCUGAGGCUCGAAAGAAUGGGUAGCGAACAGG